rnacentral:rRNA from 1 species
UACAUGGGGUGCAAACGUUGCUCGGAAUUAUUGGGCGUAAAGCGCGCGUAGGCGGUUACUCAAGUCGGAUGUGAAAGCCCUCGGCUUAACUGAGGAAGUGCACCCGAAACUGAGUAGCUAGAGUACUAAAGAGGGUCGCGGAAUUCCCGGUGUAGAGGUGAAAUGCGUAGAUAUCUGGAGGAACACCGGUGGCGAAGGCGGCAUCCUGGACCGGUAUUGACACUGAGGCGCGAAAGCCAGGGGAGCAAACGGG